UCAGCCACACUGGAACUGAGACACGGUCCAGACUCCUACGGGAGGCAGCAGUGGGGAAUAUUGCACAAUGGGCGCAAGCCUGAUGCAGCCAUGCCGCGUGUAUGAAGAAGGCCUUCGGGUUGUAAAGUACUUUCAGUCGUGAGGAAGGUAGUGUAGUUAAUAGCUGCAUUAUUUGACGUUAGCGACAGAAGAAGCACCGGCUAACUCCGUGCCAGCAGCCGCGGUAAUACGGAGGGUGCGAGCGUUAAUCGGAAU
rnacentral:rRNA from 1 species